rnacentral:lncRNA from 1 species
UUUUUAGAAACAAAUACUAAAAACUAUUAAGUUCAUAUAAAAAGUGGACGAGGUUUAUAAAUUACAAAGUAAUAAAACGAUCUUUUAUAUGCAAAGGUGUGAAAAUAUGACUGUAAUUGUGAGGUUUUUCUAUUUUGUAAUCAUCAUUCUUUUUCUAUUUCUUCUUAUUACGAAUGUUGAAGGUUAGUCAAUCUUAUAUAUUUUUUGAUUCUUUUAUACAGUUUAAUUAUAUUAUUUAAUUAUCUUUUUUCUUUCUUAUAGCGCUGAGAAAAAAAUGUCGAACCGAUUCAGAUUGUCCCAAACAAAUGUGCCGAUUUCCGACAUACAAUAAAUGUGUUAUUCGCAACCAUUGUCAAUGUGUUCUUUCUAAGAUUAUAUGAUUUCAAUAACAUAAGUAGUUAUGAAUUUGUAAUCUAAGUGAUGGUUAUAAAAGGAAAUAAGUCAACAACGAGUAUUAUUUAGAUGUUUUCUUCUCUCUUUAUUUCAGAGAUAUUUCCGUUGCCUUUUGAAUUCAUGCUUAUCAAUUUUCCUUGUCUACCUUAUCUCCUAUUAUGCUAACGAGUGCAUCUUGAAUACUCUAAAAUCCAAAUAAAUAAAAUAUUACAUUGAACACAAAUCUUUUUAAAAAAACAUACCUUUAAUUAUUUAGAAAUUUUAAGCAAUUUUUUUAGUUUCUUGUAUUUUUCUGGAAUUAUGAAUAAAUGAACAAAUACAUAACAUAAAAAUAAAGUGUAGAAAAUAAAUUAACACAAAGAAUUUUUCUGGUAUAUCUAACUCUCUCAUAUUACGUGAGAAUUUUUCACUAUUGUUAAAUCUUUGUACAAAUCUGACACAAAAACUUAUCUUAUAAUUUUCUAACAACAACAAAGAAACAUGUCACUUCCUUAAAUGCCAAACACCAACAAUUAUAGUGGAGUUUGAAUCAUCUAGAUUCAAAUGACUUUUCCAACAAAUAUAAAAAUAACAUUUCCUCAUUUGCAACAAUCUAUAAUAAGUACAACAUUUUCUACAAGAUAAAGAAUCACCACAUACUUGGUGAAGUUUGUAUGAAAAAUGUUGUAGACAAACUUUCCAUCAACUUUCAUCAACUUUGAGGUUUUGAUGAUUUUCUAAUACAUGAAAAUUCGAUAUUCUCUUCCAAUGAACAAAUCAAGAUUAUAUAGAUAUUUAAGCACCACUACUAAAAAAUUCAUGAUUAGUGACAAAAAAACUUAAAAACCGGUCCCUAUAAUGUUUAGUGACCAAUAAAGUGACAACUAAUUUUCGAUAGAAAAAAUGCUAGUUAUUAACCUUUAGCGACAUAUUUAACGACCAGUUUUAGUGACCAAUUUCAAAUAAUUAAAGAACUUAAAAUUAAAAUCAAAAGAUUUGCCACAUUCAAUACUUAAACAAAUUCCCUUAUGUUUUAGAAAUUUGUGCGUGAACACUAAACUAUUUCAUUUUAGUAGUUAUAUGUUUUAAAAUUAUAUAUAUUAUAAAUGAAAUUAAAAUAUUAAAUAUUAUUCAAAAAAUUAUUAAAUUAAUUAUCAUUAAAAUUACAUUUUUUUAAAUUAAUAAAUUUGUAUGGGUGAAUUAUUUAUAUAAAUAUAUAUUUUAUUUGUUAAAAUAAUAAAAACGUGAAACUUUCAUUAAAAAAUAAAAAUANAUUAUAAAUGAAAUUAAAAUAUUAAAUAUUAUUCAAAAAAUUAUUAAAUUAAUUAUCAUUAAAAUUACAUUUUUUUAAAUUAAUAAAUUUGUAUGGGUGAAUUAUUUAUAUAAAUAUAUAUUUUAUUUGUUAAAAUAAUAAAAACGUGAAACUUUCAUUAAAAAAAAAAUAUAUUUUUUUUUGAAAUAUUUUGAAGAAAGAAAACAUGGGGGAUGUAACUUAAUAAAGAAAAUAAAACUAUUAGUGAUCGAAAUUUCAAUCACUAAAAUUUUUUAUAAAUAAAUUUUUAAUAUAAGCGUUUGUUUGAGAAUGAAAAUUAGGUCACAAAUAUUGAUCACUAAUUUGGUGGUUAAUUUAAUUUAAUGACCUUUAAAAUUUAAUGACGAUGCCGUUCAAUUUCGGUGGACAAUUAGGUGGCAAUAGUGACCGAAUACUUUUAAUUAUUUAUUCGGUCAUUAAAAACAAAUUUUUUUAGUCGUGUGAUCAAGUAUUUCUCUAAACUUUUUCAAAUCAAAUGAAACUAAAUAAAGAUAAAUUAUAAAUAAUAACUUUUGGUGGAAGAUAUUAAUCAUACUUGAAAUUCCUCGAUGGUUCAAAGAAAUGAAUGUGUUGUUUCAUAUAUCCUUAUUCUUAUUAUUUCUCUCUGUCGCUGAUAAUGGUUUCAAUAUCAACUCCAAAACCAUUCUGACACACUUUAGGGGUGACGAAAACAUCAAUCAUCGCCAAAUUUCACACUUCAAUGAUUAGAGCUUCUAUUUUCAAGCUUGUCGUGCAACUCAGGUGUUAGUGAAAUCUUAAUUUCCUUUAGUGUGUCAGUUUAACACCAAUUAUACAAAGGAGAAUUGGUUAUGUGAAAGGUACAACAAGUCCCUACAACUUUGUAUGCUUGAGAAAUAUGUCAACCAGAAGACUUGCAUUUUUCAGAUAAAUCAUCAAUAUUAAAGUCAAUACUCAGAUUUACGGUAGCUAAUAAGAACUCAAUUUCUCAUCCAGGCUGUGAAAUCUUUCACUAAAAGGUAUUACACAUAUUGAACUAAUAUGUUUUAAUCAUAGAAGCUAAAAGGUAUUAAGAACCUGAACAAGAAGUGGUCUCAGUGAUACUGGAUUGGAAUGAUGCAAUAAAAUGCUUGUCGGGAUUGUUGAUAUUUGACCAAGUAGCUUUUGUUACAGCCAUGUACUUGCUAUCUAAGAUUUUUGGCACAUGCAUUAAUUAGAAAACGUGAUAAGUUUUAUGUGUAAAUGGGUUUAUGGCUAAAAGUAGAAGUGGUCAGUUACAAGUGUCGACGAAUUUGGUUUGUCGAAAAAGUGAUAUCAUCUUUGAUCGAAUAGUAAUCAGUAUAUUUGUUUUGAGACUUUGUGAAAUUUAGAGUUUCCAUAAUAUUUUUCCAAUUAGAUGAAUGAGAUGUAAGUGGAUAACAUCAGACAGUUAUUUGAGGACACAUGAGAGUUUGUCAAAUACAAAGGCUGCAUGGAGACGAAGACGUUACAUGUUUUGCUUAGUCGAUCGUUAUAGACGGUUAACUUAAGACUAGUAUAUAAGUAAGCAUACACUUAUCUUUUUAGAGGUCCACAAUUGUACAAAAAUUCUGUAAAACUUAAACUAUUCGUGUGUUUGUGAGAAUAGAGUCAAGAAUGUAUGUAUAUGCGUUCCAUUUUUUACAAAUCAAAGUUUUUAUCUUCAGUUAUUUACUGAAUUGAAAUUUAUUCCAAUUAAUUUUUGUUUCCUANUCAGUGAUACUGGAUUGAAUGAUGCCAAUAAAAUGCUUGUCGGUAUGUUGCAUAAUUUGACCAAGUAGCUUUUGUUACAGCCAUGCUAACUGUGCUAUUCUAAGAUUUUUGGCACAUGGCAUUUAAUUAGAAAACGUGAUAAGUUUUAUGUGUAAAUGGUUUAUGGCAAAAGUAGAAUGUGCUGUCAGUUACAAGUGUCGACGAAUUGGUUUUGUCGAAAAAGUGAUAUCAUCUUUGAUCGAAUAGUAAUCAGUAUAUUUGUUUUGAGACUUUGUGAAAUUUAGAGUUUCCAUAAUAUUUUUCCAAUUAGAUGAAUGAGAUGUAAGUGGAUAACAUCAGACAGUUAUUUGAGAACACAUGAGAGUUUGUCAAAUACAAAGGCUGCAUGGAGACGAAGACGUUACAUGUUUUGCUUAGUCGAUCGUUAUAGACGGUUAACUUAAGACUAGUAUAUAAGUAAGCAUACACUUAUCUUUUUAGAGGUCCACAAUUGUACAAAAAUUCUGUAAAACUUAAACUAUUCGUGUGUUUGUGAGAAAAGAGUCAAGAAUGUAUGUAUAUGCGUUCCAUUUUUUACAAAUCAAAGUUUUUAUCUUCAGUUAUUUACUGAAUUGAAAUUUAUUCCAAUUAAUUUUUGUUUCCUAUUAUAUUUAUUUUCAAUCAUUGUAAUUAUUUUUGUUUCUUUUAUAUUUUGAUUUCAAUGUAAAACAUGCUUCAAACAUUAAUUUUCACGCAAUAUGUUUUGGGAUCUCUUCGAGUUUAAUCCCGUGAAUGAAAUCAAACUUGUUUUGUUUAUCAAAUUUCAAAGUGAACAAGUACUACCAUUAUUAAAUAACUUCAUCCACAUCCUUUCUUUUAUUUUUACCUCGAGAGUGCAUCAAUUUCUGAUUGAAUAUUGCACUUAAUUGCAAACGAUGUCAAGUCUUCCAAUGUCAAGUAGAUUUUUUUCAUCCUACAUGCUCAAUUGUUCUCAAACCUAAUAAUUUCAUUGUCUACUGAACUUUGGUUGGGGAUGCUUAGAUCUUCAUUUGAAUCAUUUCCUGGUGCUUUUAAGUCUUUUUUUGUCCAAGAGUGAACUAGUGACCCAAGAAUAAAGGAUUAAAAGCAACUUUAAUAUGUGGAAUGAUGCAUUAUUUACUAACGUUUUUCCUUUCAUUUUGUAUGACCUUGGCAGUGUGAAAAAGCUUGGUAAGUUUUUACAAAUAAGCAUUACUUCGAAAAUCAGCUAUCAUAACGGUUGGAAAAGGACACAACCACGUCUGAUCAACCAUUGUUAGGUAGGAUGUAUUGUAUGUAUGAUGCUUUCUAUCACGAGCAUAAAACCAUUGCGAUGAACUAGAUAGUGCACUGUAUAUCACAACGGUUAAAGUAUACAACUGUUGUGAUAUAAAAUUAAAUGUAAAGAAGGAAAAAACAUGCCUUUUUAUUUUGGGGUUCUUCUUUCUUAGCUUCACCAGCAUUUGAAGGGCCUUCGACAUUUAUGUCACCCCUAACUUCAGUUUCAUCUACAACGAAAACGUGAAAACUAAGUAUUAAAAAUUAAUAAAAAAUAUAAACAUUAUAUCUUGGUUCUUUAAGAUUAAAAAUGCGAAUCUGACGACCUUGGAAUUUUGUUCAAACCCUGAAGUAUUCGCACCCGUAAGUUCACCUAUUAAAAAAAGAUUAGAAUGAAAAUAGAAAUCAAGACUAUUACGAGUGAACGCCAUGCAAUAUUUGUAUUCUUGAGUAGUGAGUUUCCUUUACACGCAUUGCAUCAAAAAUUAUUGCCAAAAAUAAUAAAUUGAGUUGUGAAGUCUAUUAAAAUAAAAUUAAAUGCGUUUGAACGAUGUCAAUAAAAAUUUAUAAAAAGUUUAAAGUUAUAACUAAUUUAAAUGAUUGAGUUAAAGUUUAUUUAUUUUUAAUAUCUUUUUGUUGAAGUAUAAAUUUUUUUAAUUAUUUGAAAAAUAUUAGGACCAACUUACAAAUUUUGAAAUAAUAAAAUACUUCAUAUAUUUUGUAGAGUACGAGAGAUAUUUCAAAUUUAUUGAUUUUAUGUAUUGUUUAAAAAGUAUUAAGUUUAAUUUGGAUAAAAUAUUUAAUAGAUUUAAAUUAUUUUAAUAUAUUUUUAAAUUUUUUAUUAAGGGUGUUUGUGGUGUCAUUUGAACGGUUUUGACGUUAAAAAUUAUUUGAACUGCAAAAAAAAAAAACCAUGUUGUUCAGUUUAAUUUGAUUGGCUUUGAGAAAUAAAAUCUAACCAAACCAAAUUAAACCAAUGCGGUUUUGAUUGGUUCUAGUUUUUUACAAGACUUUUAUUGAGUUAUACAUACACCUAUAGAGAAUAACAUAACUUUGUGUUUAGUCAUUCAUACAUUACCAAAUAACAAAAAAAAAUCAUCAUAUUUUGACAAAAACUUCUCAUUCAAUAUAUAAAAAUCAGAUUAAAUAAAAGUGAAAUAAAAAAUAAAAAAUAAUAGCAAAAACAAUAUAAAAAAUAUUUAAAUAAAAAGAAAGAGGAGAUGAGAGAUUACAGAAGAUGAAAAAUAAAGAACAUAAGAGAUGCGAGAUUAAAGAAGAAAGGUGCGUUAAAAACGUAAUUUGAAGAGAUAAUAAUAACAUAAAAAUGAGAUGAUGAAAAAGAAACAACAUAAGAGAAAAGAGAUAGAGUAGAAGAAGUGAAACAUACAUAACAAAACAAAGAAGAUGAGAAGAAUAUGCAAUACUAUCAUGAGAGAUUUGAGAAGAUUAAAACUAAAAUCCUAAGAGUGUGUUUGGGUGAAAUAUUUUAAUGAGAGAAAAUUUAAAGGAAUUUAAAGUGACACCAAAAAAUAAAGAAUUUGAAGGAAUUUAAAAUGAUUAGACCAAAAUUUAUUGUUUGGAUAAAAAAUAUAGAGAAUUGAUAAAAUGUUGUAAAUUUAUGAAAUAUUUUAUUCAAGUUAAAUUUAACGAAUUUAAAGUGACACCAAAAAAUAAAGAAUUUGAAAUUACUUAUUUUUUCUAUACAAUGGAAAUGUUAAAUUGUUUAUUAUUAAUUUUUUAAAUUUUGCAAGAUAUUCCUCAUAUUUUAUGAAAAAUUUAAAUUCAUCUGUAAAAUUGUCUAAAUAUUGCAAAUAAAUCCAUAAUAAUUUAAAAAUUUACAAAUUAGUCUAUUUAAAUUUUUAAAAAUUGUAAAUUGAUCUCUAUCUUUCAUAUUUUAAAUUUGUCCCAAAAAUGUUAACAUUUAUGAAAAUGAUCCCAAAAAUUUAACAAUAAAUCAUUUUAAUACUCCAUCCAAAGAAAAUAAUUUAAAAAUGAAUGAAUUUCAAUUGAAUCAUUUAAAUUGCUUAGAAUUUUGAAUUCUUUAAAAAUUCUCAAUUAACUCAUCCAAACAUACUCUAAGAUUUAAUAAGAGAAUAUUUGUUAGAUUAAGGCAAUAAUAUAUUUGAAUUUUGGAUUGAAUGUGAGAUAAGUAGGGUUUGCGUUGUAAAAUAAUACAGUUUGGUUUGGUUUAUUUUGACUUGCAAAAUACAAACCGCAAACCAAACCGAAUCGUGUUCAUUUGUUAAAAAAUAACCCAAACACAUUUGAAUCAAAUGUGAUUUUUUACAUUUUCGAUUUGAUGAUUUACGAUUUUCUAUUUUAUGUAAACAAUACAUUUUUUUCAUAUCAUUUUAAAUUGUUUGAAAAUAUUUAUUAUCUUGUUAAAAUGUCAUACGGGUAACAUCACAUGGAUUACAUGGGUAACAAGAUUAUGACAUCAUUAAUGACAAAAUAAUAAAAUCAUAGUACCUCAUAUUCUAUUUAUAAGAAAAAUAUUAAUUUUUAAUUCAUUCAAUAACUAAUAUAUCUAAUCUAUAUUCUAUUUUGAGAUAUUAUUCAUUCAAUAAAUUUAAAAAGACAAUUGUUUUCUUCUUAUAAAUAGAAUAAAACAAUAAAAAAUAAAAACUUAAAAUAGAAAAAGAAGAGGAUCCAGAAAUUAGAUAAAAAUAGUAUAGACGUUUUUUUAAAGGAUAUAUAUAUAUAUAUAUAUAUAUAUAUANCUAAAUACAAACAAAAUCUGCUUAUAAUUGAAAUUGAAAACAGGUACACGAGAAGUAUCGAGUGUUUAUUGUAUAUUUUCUUAUAAAUAGAGCAUAGAAGUAUCGAGUGUUUAUUGUAUAUUUUCUUGAGUGUGGCUCAAAAUAUAGAAUCAUAUGGGUUUAAAAUAUCCUUGAACCAUACAUUUACACAAGGAGUGACUUACACACGUCAUGAUCUUAGGUUUUUGACAUCAAUCUUUGGGACAAUCAGAAUCUUUAAAACAUCUACGCAUCCGUGCUAUAAAUAGAAAAGAAAAGAAAAAAGAAAAUUGGAUGGAAUAUUGUAUAUAAGGUGAAGAGAAAAUUUUAGAAGAUAAAAAUAACUUACCUUCAACAUAUCAGAUAAUUAUAAAAUAAACAAACUUGAUAAUUUGAGCCAUAAUUUUUCUCUUUCAUGUAACAAAAGGUUUUAUCACUUCAUUAUUUAUAAAGCUUUUUCUCUUCUUACAAAAAUCGAAUAUGUAUUAGCGCUUAUCUUAUCGAGUGGUAAAAACCACUUCCAUAAAGAUUAAUCAUAACUAAAUGUCUUUUAAAUAUAUCAAUGAGUUGUAUUUAUCUCUUUAAUAUAUUUAUUAAAGACCUCAAAUUAAAAACUUGUCACUCAUAACAAUUCAAUAAUUUUUUAUUAAAUAUCUAUUAGUGUUAUAACUUUUCGUAACAGGAAGGGAUAAAAAAACCAAAGACCAAUCAUAUUUUUGGACCACACAUAUCAGCAUGAACUUAGUGUGUUUUAUUGAUGAAUCAAACUUAACUACUUAAUGUGAAACAUUAAGUGAUAAUGAGUGAAUCCAUCUUUGAAAUUGUCCAACAUGUAUAUUAAAUGCAAUAAAAUUUAAAAGCUACUUAAUGCACUGUCAGUGUAAAAAUUUUUACACUAUCAAUUCAUCACCAUCAUCCGUUUGUAUUACUUUAUAGAUUUUUAAAAUAAAAGUCAAAUUUGUUUUAAUAUCCAGGUCUAUUAUUAACUGACUGUGUAAAAUCCUUUAAAUUAUCACUGUAUUUCAAUUAUAUAUAUAUAUAUAUAUAUAUAUAUAUAUAUAUAUAUNUCAGUGAUACUGGAUUGAAUGAUGCAAUAAAAUGCUUGUCGGGAUUGUUACAUAAUUUGACCAAGUAGCUUUGUUACACCAUCACUGCAUCUAGAUUUUGCACAUGCAUUAAUUAGAAAACUGAUAAGUUUCAUGUGUAAAUGGGUUUAUGGCUAAAAGUAGAAGUGCUGUCAUUAACCAGAGUCGUCGACGAAUUGGUUUUGUGAAACAAGUGAUAUCAUGUGAAUAGUAAUCGAGUAUAUUGUUUUGAGACUUGUGUGAAAUUUAGAGUUUCAUAACAUUUUUUCUCAAUGGUGAGAUGAAUGAGAUGUAAGUGGAUAAAUCAAACAGUUAUUUAAGGACAAUGGAUUGUUCAAAUACAAAGGCUGCAUGGAGACGAAGACGUACAGUGUUUGCUUAGUCGAUCGUUAUAGACGGUUAACUUAAGACUAUAUAUAAGUAAGGAUACACUUAUCUUUUUAGAGGUCCACAAUUGUACAAAAAUUCUGUAAAACUUAAAGACUAUCGUGUGUUGUGAGAAAAAGAGUCAAGAAUGUAUGUAUGCGUUUCCAUUUUUUACAAAUCAAAGUUUAUCUUAGAUACUGAAUUGAUAUUCAAUUAAUUUUCGUUUUCCUUAUUAUAUUUAUUUUCAAUCAUGUAAUAUUUUUGUUUCUUUUAUAUUUGAUUUCAAUGUAAACAUGCUUCAAACAUUAAUUUUCACCAAUAUGUCUUGGGAUCUCUUCGAGUUUAAUCCCGUGAAUGAAGUCAAAUGUUUUGUUUAUCAAAUUUCAAAGUAAACAAGUACUCCAUUAUUAAUAACUAUCACAUCCUUUUUUUAUUUUUACCUCGAGAGCUGCAUCAAUUUCUGAUUGAACUAUUGCACUUAAUGCAAACGAUGUCAAGUCUUCCAAUGUCAAGUAGAUUUUUCAUCCUACAUGCUUCAAUGUUCAACCUAAUAAUUUCAAUUGUGCUACUGAACUUUGUUGGGAUGCUUAGAUCUUCUUGAAUAUUCCUGGUGCUUUUUAAGUCUUUUUUUGUCCAAGAUGAAACUAGUGACCCAAGAAUAAAGAUUAAAGAAACUUUAAUAUGUGGAAUGAGCAUAUUUACUAGCGUUUCCUUUCAUUUUGUAUGACCUUGGCAGUGUGAAAAAGCUUGGUAAGUUUUUACCAGAAAAUUAAUAAGUUCAAGCAUACUCGAAAAUCAGCUAUCAUAACGGUUGGAAAAGGACACAACCACGUCUGACAACCGAUGUUAGUAGGAUGUAUGUAUGUAUGAUCUUUCUAUCACGAGCAUAAAACAUUGCGAUAACUAGAUAGGCACUGUAUAUCAACAACGUUAAAGUAUACAAUGUUGUGAUAUAAAAUUAAUGUAAAGAAGGAAAAAAACAUGCCUUUUUAUUUUUGGGGUUCUAUUUUCUUAGCUUCACCAGCAUUUGAAGGGCUUCGAAUUUAUGUCACCCCUAGACUUCAGUUUCAUCUACAACGAAAUGUGUAAGAACGAAGUAUAUGAAAAUAAUUUGAAUAAAUAAUAUAUACAUGUUUUUCUUUAUGGUUCUCUGGUAAGAUGAAAAAGGCGAUCGACGACCUCUUGUAGAAGUUUUGUUCCAAAGAAGUGGCCUGAAAGUAGUCGUCGACCGUUGUUGAAUUUCCACUAUUAAAGAGAUGAUGGAUGGUGGAAAGUAGGAAAUUCAAGGACUUAUUGACGAGUGAACAGCCAUGCAAUAUUUGUAUUCUGAGUAGUGAGUUUCCUUUACACAUUGAGCAACAACAAUUAUUGAAUGCAAAAAUAAUAAAUUGCAGUAUGUGAGUCUAUUAAAUAAAAUUAAUGCGUUUGAACAUGUCAAAAAAAUGUAUAACAAAGUUAAAAGUUUAGACAAUUAAAUUAUGAGUAACUGUUAUUUAUUUAACUAUCUUGUUGAUAAAAUUUUUUUAAUUAUUUGAAAAAUAUUAGAGACCCAACUCAAAUUAUUACAAUAAUAAAAGUAUAUAUUGUAGGUACGAGAAUAUUCAAUUAUGUGUUUAUGAUGUUAAGUAUUAAUUAAUUGAAAAUAUAUAGUAUGUUAAAUUAUUUUAUAUAUUUUUAUAAAGUUUUUAUAAGGUGUUGUGGUGCAUUUGAACGGUUUGACGUUAAAAUAUUGAAUGCAAAAAAAAACCAUGUUGUUCAGUUAAUUUGAUUGGCUUUGAAAAUAAAAAUCAACCAACAAAUGUAAACCAAUGCCGUUGUUGGUCUAGUUUUACAAGGCUUAUUAGUUAUACAUAACCUAUUAGAGAUAACAUAAUUGGUUUUAUCAUUCAUACAUUACCAAGGUAACAAAAAAAAAAUAUCAAUUUGACAAAAACUUCUCACAAAUAUAAAAUGCAGAUAUAAAAGUAAAUAAAAAAUAAAAACAUAAUAGAAAACAAAUAAAAAAAUAUCAAAUAAAAAGAAAGAGAGAUGAGAAGAUACAGAAGAAAAAAAUAAAGAACAUAAAGAUGCGAGAUUAAAGAAGGGAAAGGUGCGUUAAAAACUAAUUUGAAGAGAUAAUAAUAAACGAUAAAAAUGAGAUGAUGAAAAGAAACAACUAAGAGAAAAGAGAUAGAGUAGAAGAAGGUGAAACAUACAUUAACAAAAAAAAGAAGAUGAGAAGAAUAUGCAAUACUAUCAUGAGAGAUUUUGAGAGAUUAAAACUAAAAUCCUAAGAGUGUGUUUGGGUGAAAUAUUUUAAUGAGAGAAAAUUUUAAAGAAUUUAAAGUGACACCAAAAAAUAAAGAAGUUGAAGGAAUUUAAAAAUGCAUGAGGACCAAAAUUUAUUGUUUGGAUAAAAAAUAUAGAGAAUUGAUAAAAUGUUGUUAAAUUUUAUGAAAUAUAUUUAUUCAAAAGUUAAAAUUUAACGAAUUUUAAAGUGACACCAAAAAAUAAAGAAUUUGAAAUUACUUAUUUUUUCGUAUACAUGGAAAUGUUAAAUUGUUUAUUAUUAAUUUUUUUAAAAAUUUUGGCAAGUAUUCCUCAUAUUUUAUGAAAAAAUUUAAAUUUCAUCUUGUUAAAUUGUCUAAAUAUUUGCAAAUAAAUCCAUAAUAAUUUAAAAUUUACAAAUUAGUCUAUUUAAAUUUUAAAAAUUGUAAAUUGAUCUCUAUCUUUCAUAUUUUAAAUUUUGUCCCAAAAAUGUUAACAUUUAUGAAAAUUGAUCCCAAAAUUUAACAAAUAAAUCCAUUUUAAUACGUCCAUCCAAAGAAAAUAAUUUAAAAAUGGACCAAUGGAAAUUUCAAUGAAUCAUUAAAUUGCUUAGAAUGUGAAUUCUUUAAAAAUUUCUAAUAACUCAUCCAAAACAUACUCUAAGAUUUAAUAAAGAAAUAUUUGUUAGAUUAAGGCCAAUAAUAUAGUUGGGAAAUUUGGAUGAAUAGUGAGAUAAGGGUAGGGUUUGCGUUGUAAAAUAAGUUACAGUUUGGUUGGUUUAUUUGACUUGCAAAAUACAAAACCGCUCCAAACCAAACCGAAUCGAUGUCAUUUGUUAAAAAAUAACCCAAACAACAUUUUGAAAUCAAAUGUGAUUUUUUACAUUUUCGAUUUGAUGAUUUACGAUUUUCUAUUUUAUGUAAAACAAUACAUUUUUUUCAUAUCAUUUUUAAAUGGUUUGAAAAUAUUUAUCGAUCUUAGUAAAAAUGUCAUACGGGUAACAUCAGCAUGGAUUACAUGAGUAACAAGAUAUGACAUCAUUAAUGACAAAAAUUAAAUAAAAUCAUAGUAACCUUCAUAUUCUAUUUAUAAGAAAAUAUUUAAUUUUUAAUUCAUUGAAUAACAUAAUAUAAUCUAAAUCUAUAUUCUAUUUUGAAUAUUAUGGGCAUUCAAUAAAUUUAAAAGACAAUUUGUUUUCUUCUUAUAAAUAGAAUAAAAACAAUAAAAAAUAAAACUUAAAAUAGGAAAAAGAAGAGGAUCCAGAAAUUAGAUAAAAAAUAGUAUAGACGUUUUUAAAGGAGAUUAUAUAUAUAUAUAUAUAUAUAUAUAUAUUAUAUAUAUAUAUUAUAUAUAUAUAUAUAUAUAUAUAUAUAUAUAUAUAUAUAUAUAUAUAUAUAAUGGAAAAAUCUAAAUACAAACAAAAAUCUGCAUAUAAGUGAAAUUUGCAAAACAGCGUUACACGAGAAGUAUCGAUGUUUAUUGUAUAUUUUCUUAUAAUAAGAGCAUUUAAAGUAUCGAGUGUUUAUUGUAUAUUUUCUUGAGUUGUGGCUCAAAAUAUAGAAUCAUAUGGGUUUAAAAUAUCCUGUGAACCAUACAUUUACACAAGGAGUCACUUACACACGGUCAUUGAUCUUAGGUUUUGACAUCAAUCUUUGGGACCAAUCAGAAGCUUUAAAACAUCUACGCAUCCUGCUAUAAAUAGGAAAGAAAAGAAAAAAGAAAAUUGGAUGGAAUAUUGUAUAUAAGUUGAAGAGAAAAAUUUUAUAGAAGAGAAAAAUAACUUACCUUCAACAUAUCAGAUAAUUAUAAAAUAAACAAACUUGAUAAUUUGAGCAUAAUUUUCUCUUUCAUGUAAAAACAAAGCGGUUUAUCACUUCAUUAUUUAUAAAGCUUUUUCUCUUCUUACAAAAAUCGAAAUAUGUAUUAGCGGCUUAUCUUAAUCGGAGUGGUAAAAACCAUCCAUAAAAGAUUAAUCGAUAACUAAAUGUUCUUUAAAAUAUAUCAAUGAGUUGUAUUUAUCUCUUUAAUAUAUUUAUUAAAACCUCAAAUUAAAAACUUGUCACUCAUAAAACAAUUUCAAUAAUUUUUUAAAUAAAUAUUCUAAUUAGUGUGAUAACUUUCGUAACAGGAAGGAUAAAAAAACAAAAGACCAAUCAGGAUUUUUGGGGACACAACAUAUCAGCAUGAACUUAGUGGUUUAUUGAUGAAUCAAACUUAACUACUUAAUGUGAAACAUUCAAGGGAUAAUGAGUGGAAUCCAUCUUGAAAUUGUCCAACAUGUAUACUUAAAUGCGAGAUAAAAUUUAAAAGCUACUUAAUGCACUUGUCAGUGUAAAAAUUUUUACACUAUAAUUCAUCACCUCAUCCGUUUGCUAUUACUUUAUAGAUUUUUAAAAUAAAAGUCAAAUUUGUUUAAUAAUCCAGGUCUAUUAUUUAACUGACUGUUGUUAAAAUCCUUAAAUAUCACUGUAUUUCAAUUAUAAUAUAUAUAUAUAUAUAAUAUAUAUAUAUAUAUAUAUAUAUAUAUAUAUAUAUAUAUAUAUAAUAUAUAUAUAUAUAUAUAUAUUAGCUAUUAAAAAAACAAGGAUCUAACUGUGCGCUCAAUUAAUGCUUAUACAAGUCAAAGAAAAUACUAUUAAUCACAAAAGGUUAUCAAAUUGAUGAAAAUUUAGAGAUAAAAAAAAGGCAUGAAUUUUGAUUACUCAGUGUGUUAAAGAGACAAACAUAACAUAUUUAUUGACUUUAGAAACAUUUAAUAAUGAAUAUAUCUUUUGAAAGGGUUUUUAGAAACAAAUACUAAAAACUAUUAAGUUCAUAUAAAAAAGGGACGAGGUUUAUAAAUUACAAAGUAAUAAAACAAUCUUUUAAAUGCAAAGGUGUGAAAAUAUGACUGUAAUUGUGAGGUUUUUCUAUUUUGUAAUCAUCAUUCUUUUUCUAUUUCUUCUUAUUACGAAUGUUGAAGGUUAGUCAAUCUUAUAUAUUUUUUGAUUCUUUUAUACAAUUUAAUUAUAUUAUUUAAUUAUCUUUUUUCUUUCUUAUAGGAAAGAAAAUAAAAUGUCGAACCGAUUCAGAUUGUCCCAAACAAACGUGCCGAUUUCCGACAUACAAUAAAUGUGUUAUUCGCAACCAUUGUAAAUGUGUUCUUUCUAGAAUUAUAUGAUUUCAAUAACAUAAGUAGUUAUGAAUUUGUAAUCUAAGUGAUGGUUAUAAAAGGAAAUAAGUCAACAACGAAUAUUAUUUAGAUGUUUUCUUCUUUCUUUAUUUCAGAGAUAUUUCCAUUGCCUUUUGAAUUCAUGCUUAUCAAUUUUCCUUGUCUACCUUAUCUCCCAUUAUGCUAACGAAGGCAUCUGAAAUACUCUAAAAUCCAAAUAAAAAAAAUAUUAC